rnacentral:rRNA from 1 species
GAUGAACGCUGGCGGCGUGCCUAAUACAUGCAAGUCGAGCGAACAGAUGAGGAGCUUGCUCCUCUGACGUUAGCGGCGGACGGGUGAGUAACACGUGGAUAACCUACCUAUAAGACUGGGGUAACUUCGGGAAACCGGAGCUAAUACCGGAUAAUAUAUUGAACCGCAUGGUUCAAUAGUGAAAGACGGUUUUGCUGUCACUUAUAGAUGGAUCCGCGCCGCAUUAGCUAGUUGGUAAGGUAACGGCUUACCAAGGCAACGAUGCGUAGCCGACCUGAGAGGGUGAUCGGCCACACUGGAACUGAGACACGGUCCAGACUCCUACGGGAGGCAGCAGUAGGGAAUCUUCCGCAAUGGGCGAAAGCUUGACGGAGCAACGCCGCGUGAGUGAUGAAGGUCUUCGGAUCGUAAAACUCUGUUAUUAGGGAAGAACAAAUGUGUAAGUAACUAUGCACGUCUUGACGGUACCUAAUCAGAAAGCCACGGCUAACUACGUG